GAAGAAGGGUCAGAGUCAGAGAUUUGAAGAUGCUACAGCUGGUGGCUUUUAAGGUGGAGGAAAGGGCCUCGGACCAAGGAAUGCCGGCCUGUUGUUGUAGUUAGUGCCCCCUAGUCAAUUCUGACUCCUAGUGACCCUGUGUACAGCAGAGCUGAAGCCUGCAUGGUCUUUUUGUGCCAUCCCUCUCACCUUCCAGCUCUAUAUCAGACAAUGUUCUGCUGCUAUCCAUAAGGUUUUCAUGGCCACUUUUUUCAAACGUGGGUGGCCAGGUCCUUCUUCCUACUCUAGCUCAGUCUAGAAACUCAACUGAAAUCUGAAACCUGUACUGGUAGCAUAGCUUUCAGCAACACACGGCUGCCACAGUAUGACAGCCCACAGAUGAGUAGUGUGACUCCCUGACUGGGAAAUGAAAACCCAGCUGUGGCGAUGAGACUGCUGAAUCUUAACCACCAGACCAUUAGGACUGGCAGGCAACCUGUAGAAGCUGGAAAAUGCAAGGAAACUGAUUCUCCUGUAGAGCCUCCAGAAGGAAUUCCACCUGGCUGACACCUUGAUUUUAGCCCAGGAAGACCCAUUCCGGCUUUCUGACCUCCACAACUGCGAGAAGAUAAACAGGCUAGUGAACUUGGGCAAGAAGAAUGAGAAGAAAAAGAAAAGAAAUGAUGCAGGGAGACUGUCAAGCAAACCACCUCGUUCAUACAUUUUGCUAAGUUUGAUCAUCAACCUAUUACACAUAUCGUGGUUCCAUUUGGAGUAAAGAAGGGUCAUGUGGUAGGGUGAAAGAGAGGAGGGGAAUACUCUUCACCAUUAGUCUUUAUAUUUACCUAAUGCAAGCAGGGAGAGAUCCUGCAAUUUUUCAUAUUUCUUUUCUUAUGCCAUUGUUACGUCCCAUGCCUUGUCAUUUUUUGAGACUUAUGGGAGUGAAAUAAGACUAAAUAAAUUGUCUUCUAUAUUCCAUUCCCUACUUUUCAAAAAUCAGGAUCCCGUUAUUGAAAUACUAUCCAAUAGAGUGAUUCUAGAGUCUGCUUUUUGUAGUUUUACCAACGCUCAUUGCUGGGAAAUUCUUUUUUUGUCCAUCUUUAUUGCUUUCCUAUGACACUAGAUAGAAGCAUCAUAAAGCUUAACCAUUAUUGAUUUAUCUGAUAUAAAAUAAGAGUUGAAGUGUUCCCCCAAAUUUUGUCAAAAAGUCGUAUCUGCAUUCUUGCAAAGUAACACUGUCAGAAAUCACAUUCAGGUGUUCCACAUAGUGACUGCUGUUGUUGCUACCAUACUGUAUGCCUGCGUGUU
rnacentral:lncRNA from 1 species